AGGGCCCUGCCCACACAGGUGCACGUCGUGGAGCUGCACGACGGGGAUGUCUCUGCCUACACGUACGAGCGGACGCUGAUGAUGGAGCAGCGCUCGCAGAUGCUGCGCCAGCUGCGCCACGCCCAGAGAGGCCACGCCCACUCGCAGCCCCCCA